GUGUCAGCCGCCGCGGUAAAACGUAGGAGGCGAGCGUUAUCCGGAGUUACUGGGCGUAAAGAGCGUGUAGGCGGCUCUGCAGGUCUGAUGUGAAAGCUCCCAGGCUAAACCGGGAGAGGUCAUUGGAAACCGUAGAGCUAGAGAGCGAGAGAGGGACAUGGAAUUCCGGGUGUAGUGGUGAAAUGCGUAGAGAUCCGGAGGAACACCAGAGGCGAAGGCGGUGUCCUGGCUCGCGACUGACGCUGAGACGCGAAAGCAUGGGUAGCGAACGGGAUUAGAAACCCCGGUAGUCCAUGCCGUAAACGAUGCACACUGGGUGUUCGUGGCGGGAAACCGCCGGGAGUGCCGAAGCCAACGCGGUAAGUGUGCCGCCUGGGGAGUACGGUCGCAAGGCUAAAACUUAAAGGAAUUGGCGGGG
rnacentral:rRNA from 1 species